rnacentral:rRNA from 1 species
AUUGAACGCUGGCGGCAGGCCUAACACAUGCAAGUCGAACGAGUGGCGGACGGGUGAGUAAUGUCUGGGAAACUGCGUGCGGGAUGGGGUUCACGACUGGACACGGUUGCUAAUACCGCAAUGCAUCGGAUGUGCCGAGAUGGGAUUAGCUUGUGGUGGGGGUAACGGCACACCAAGGCGAGGAUCCGUAGCUGGUCUGAGAGGAUGACCAGCCACACUGGAACUGAGACACGGUCCAGACUCCUACGGGAGGCAGCAGUGGGGAAUAUUGCACAAUGGGCGCAAGCCUGAUGCAGCCAUGCCGCGUGUAUGAAGAAGGCCUUCGGAUUGUAAAGUACUUUCAGCGGGGAGGCGUUACCCGCAGAAGAAGCACCGGCUAACUCCGUGCCAGCAGCCGCGGUAAUUC